ACCUGAGUGGCUCAGUCAGUUGAGCGUCUGAUUCAUGAUUUUAGGCUCAGGUCAUGAUCUCACGGCUCAUGGGUUCGAGCCCCACCUCGGGCU
rnacentral:tRNA from 1 species